UACGGAGGGGGCUAGCGUUGUUCGGAAUUACUGGGCGUAAAGCGCGCGUAGGCGGACCUGCAAGUCGGGGGUGAAAGCCCGAGGCUCAACCUCGGAACUGCCUUCGAUACUGCGGGUCUCGAGUCCGGGAGAGGUGAGUGGAAUUCCUAGUGUAGAGGUGAAAUUCGUAGAUAUUAGGAAGAACACCAGUGGCGAAGGCGGCUCACUGGCCCGGUACUGACGCUGAGGCGCCACACCGUGCGGAGCAAACAGG
rnacentral:rRNA from 1 species